rnacentral:rRNA from 1 species
UACGGGGGGGGCAAGCGUUGUUCGGAAUUACUGGGCGUUAAAGGGCGUCGUAGGCGGCCAACUAAGUCCGACGUGAAAUCCCCAGGCUUAACCUGGGAACUGCGUCGGAUACUGGAUGGCUUGAAUCCGGGAGAGGGAUGCGGAAUUCCAGGUGUAGCGGUGAAAUGCGCAGAUAUCAGGAAGAACACCUAUGGCGAAGGCAGCUCUCUGGGACGGUACUGACGCUGAGACGCGAAAGCGUGGGGAGCGAACAGG